UACGGGGGGGGCAAGCGUUGUUCGGAAUUACUGGGCGUAAAGGGCUCGUAGGCGGCCAACUAAGUCAGACGUGAAAUCCCUCGGCUUAACCGGGGAACUGCGUCUGAUACUGGAUGGCUUGAGAUUGGGAGAGGGAUGCGGAAUUCCAGGUGUAGCGGUGAAGUGCGUAGAUAUCUGGAGGAACACCGGUGGCGAAGGCGGCAUCCUGGACCAACACUGACGCUGAGGCACGAAAGCUAGGGGAGCAAACAGG
rnacentral:rRNA from 1 species